AUUGAACGCAGGCGGCAUGCUUCACACAUGCAAGUCGAACGGUAACAGGUCUUCGGAUGCUGACGAGUGGCGAACGGGUGAGUAAUACAUCGGAACGUGCCUGGUAGUGGGGGAUAACUACUCGAAAGAGUAGCUAAUACCGCAUGAGAUCUACGGAUGAAAGCAGGGGACCUUCGGGCCUUGUGCUACUAGAGCGGCUGAUGGCAGAUUAGGUAGUUGGUGGGGUAAAGGCUUACCAAGCCUGCGAUCUGUAGCUGGUCUGAGAGGACGACCAGCCACACUGGGACUGAGACACGGCCCAGACUCCUACGGGAGGCAGCAGUGGGGAAUUUUGGACAAUGGGCGAAAGCCUGAUCCAGCAAUGCCGCGUGCAGGAUGAAGGCCCUCGGGUUGUAAACUGCUUUUGUACGGAACGAAAAGCCUGGGGCUAAUAUCCCCGGGUCAUGACGGUACCGUAAGAAUAAGCACCGGCUAACUACGUGCCAGCCGCCGCAGUAA
rnacentral:rRNA from 1 species